AUGAACGCUAGCGGCAGGCCUAAUACAUGCAAGUCGAGCGGCAAGUCGAGGAGUAAUCUAAGACCUAGAGCGGCGCACGGGUGCGUAACGCGUAUGCAACCUACCUAUCACAGGGGAAUAGCCUUUGGAAACAGGGAUUAAUACCGCAUAAAGCAGGGACACCGCAUGGUGAUAUUGCUAAAGAUUUAUCGGUGAUAGAUGGGCAUGCGUCUGAUUAGUUAGUUGGCAGGGUAACGGCCUACCAAGACGAUGAUCAGUAGGGGGCGUCAGAGCGUGGUCCCCCACACUGGCACUGAGAUACGGGCCAGACUCCUACGGGAGGCAGCAGUAGGGAAUAUUGGGCAAUGGAUGCAAGUCUGACCCAGCCAUGCCGCGUGCAGGAAGAAGGUCCUCUGGAUUGUAAACUGCUUUUAUCGGGGAAGAAUAGUUUUCUUGCGAGGGAAUGUGACGGUACCCGAUGAAUAAGCCACGGCUAACUACGUG
rnacentral:rRNA from 1 species